rnacentral:rRNA from 1 species
UUUUUUUUCACCUUUCCUCUCCCUCUGCGCACUCUUUGUCUCGGGUGCUGAGGGAGCAGAGAUGGUUUAGCGGCGGUGGUUACGGAGCAGAGGGAGGAGGCUGGGCGGAGCAGAGGGAACGCAGCUGGGAGGGGGAGGGGAGUAGGGUGGAGUGUCGAGGCCUCCGACGGUCUAGGCGGUGUAGGAGUGGGUUGGCAGGGAGAGCGCAGGGUAGGGCCAGAGAAGUGCGUCGAGGAGCGACGCGAUGGACGCCGCCGACGUAGUUCACUACAGGCCGCUUAGGGCGGUUGCGGUUCGUGUCGGGCUCCAGGGAAACGAGGUACCUCGGAAGGGUAGGUCGAUCUAGCUCACGAACGACGGUGGUUUCGGGUGGGCGCUGGGUAGGGCGUACCGAUCCCAAAGCCCGCAGCCUAGACCACAGUCACCGGUACAGCAGGAGCAAAGGAGGCUACACGCCCCUCCUUGCCCGUCACCUGUUGGAACGACGCCGAGCCCUACUUCGUCGGUGCUCGAAGGAGGAGGAGGCCGAAGUCACCUCCACAUGGUUGCCAUCAAACUUCGUCUAAUCCGCCGGCGCCUGUAGAAACCGCCACUCCGGCAGGUCACUUCCUUUACCGUCACACCGCUAAACACAAGAUAAGAGGUAGGAAAUUCGAGUAUUGUCUUCUUUCUUGAUAUGUUAGUGAUAAUAAAAUAAUUCUUUUUUUGGAUAGUACAUGCGUACAAAACUACUCAUGAGGAGAACUGAGCUAACACAACAUCCCUCACCUUCGUAGGUUAACGCCACUAGACGUCGAGACCAGCGGAGGUCGUCGUGGUGUAUUAGUUUCAAGGUUUGUCAACACAACCUGACGACGGAGGUCGGUUGGUAUUGUAUUAGUAACCUACACGAAGAAUACAUCUUCUAAACUCACUAGAUACACAAAUAAAGUCUUUUGUAAAAGAAUUACUUCUAAAUAUAAUAUAUCUAUAAGGACAUGUAAUCGAAAUCAAAAAAACGAUUGAUCUUUCACCAAAGGAAAAAGAAUGUGGUUGAGUGAUUUCGUAACCCAAGUAAACCCCAAGGAUCUAUCGAUUAAAAUCCUCGUGUGUUCUAAAGCUGAGGACGAUACAUUAAUUUCCUUUAGUACUAUAACUGAUUAUAGGAGACAUAUAAAUGAUUGGGACCUAGUCUCUGUAAAUUUAAAUUUAAUAUUAAACCUUUCAAAUAAAUAUCCUUACUAUGUAUCAUACAUAUUUACGUAAAUACUUUUAUUUAAAUAAAGUCGGUGUACAUUCGGUUGUGUCAUAGUGUACAUUAUAAAGAGUUAAUCAAUUUUCAUACGAAGAAAAUUUUGACCACCAAAAUAAAAAAUAAUGUAUUUUUACAAUAUCAAUAUGUACCGUUUGAUUUUAACAACACGUCUGUGUGACCAACUACUGAUCAGAUUGAUUGAGUCCCUAUUUAAGUAACUCAUUCUACAUUUCAACGGUUCUAUCAUUGAUCCCGUGUAUCUUGCCCUGCUUAUAUCUAAGAGAAUAAAAUAAUUCAUCUUACCUUGAACCACUUCGAAAUGAACACAACGCGACAAGAUCUCUACGUAUUCUGUGUACAUUGGUAAAAGGGAACCGUAACGUCGACGUACGUGGUUGAACUACAUCCCGCUGUGGUACCUUCCAUAUGUGAGAGGGAGAGGGAUGACAUGAUGGCGAGCAACACAGGUACUUGUAACUCGGUACGAUCCAAGAUAGACAGGUAUAUUACAAUAACUCGGUAUAACAAGACAUCCGAUACAGCAUAUAAUACCGCAGACCUAAUCAGUAGUUACUAGUGAUUGUGAGUACGACCAUAUAAAGGUCUUAGUAUUGUUCCUGCAUCAAGAACGAUGUCAAGAUUCAAUACUAGGGCUUAAAUUUGAAUUACCACGACUUUAAUUUUACGUAAAACCCGUCACAUUAUGUUUUGAACGCUUUCGACUUCUAAACCAUGUCUAAGCGUUUUUGACGUUAUGAUUACCAUUACGUCUUUUUUAUAUAACGUACCGGGAGUUGCAAACAUGCACAGAUUAUAGGACGGAAAUAGUGAUGAACAUAGUACAGUUACGUAAUACACAAUUAUCAAGUAAAACAAUAAAAACAACAUCUAACUUUUCUAUAUACCUACUAAUAUACCCACGCAUUGUUCAUAUGACGUUACUACUACUACUACUACUGCUGCUACUAUAAGACCAAGUACUACUACUACUACCUACGAAAGUUAAAAUCAAUUCAACACCCUACAAGGACAACCUACUACAAGGAGUCAAUCAAAAUCAGUUCAACAUCCCUAUAACUACCUACUAAAAUCAAAUCUAAAACGACAGUUCUUUUAAAAUCUAACACGUAGUGUAAACCUACUACAAGGAGGACAUUAUAGGUAACAACAUUAGGUUGUCAAAAUAGACUAUAUACUAAAGAAGGAGAACACUC